rnacentral:rRNA from 1 species
ACGGCUCAGUAACACGUGGACAACCUACCCUCAGCACGGGGAUAAACCCGGGAAACUGGGUAUAAUACCCGAUAGUUCUGGUAAGCUGGAAUGCUAUCAGGACGAAAGCUCCGGCGACUGAGGAUGGGUCUGCGGCCUAUCAGGUAGUAGUGGGUGUAAUGUACCUACUAGCCUACGACGGGUACGGGUCGUGAGAGCGAGAGCCCGGAGAUGGAUUCUGAGACACGAAUCCAGGCCCUACGGGGUGCAGCAGGCGCGAAAACUUUACAAUGCUGGCAACAGCGAUAAGGGGACCUCGAGUGCCAGGAUACAAUCUUGGCUGUCGUAAUGCCUAAAAAGCAUUGCAUAGCAAGGGCCGGGCAAGACCGGUGCCAGCCGCCGCGGUAACACCGGCGGCUCGAGUGGUAACCGCUAUUAUUGGGUCUAAAGGGUCUGUAGCCGGCCGGAUAAGUCUUUUGGGAAAUCCAGCAGCUCAACUGUUGGGCUUUCAGAAGAUACUGUUCGGCUCGAGGCCGGGAGAGGUGAGAGGUACUUCAGGGGUAGGGGUGGAAUCUUGUAAUCCUUGAAGGACCACCAGUGGCGAAGGCGUCUCACCAGAACGGUCCUGACGGCAAGGGACGAAAGCUAGGGGCACGAACCGGAUUAGAUACCCGGGUAGUCCUAGCCGUAAACGAUACUCGCUAGGUGUCAGCCACGGUGCGACCGUGGUUGGUGCCGUAGGGAAGCCGUGAAGCGAGCCACCUGGGAAGUACGGCCGCAAGGCUGAAACUUAAAGGAAUUGGCGGGGGAG